GAUGAACGCUGGCGGCGUGCCUAAUACAUGCAAGUCGAGCGAACAGACGAGGAGCUUGCUCCUCUGACGUUAGCGGCGGACGGGUGAGUAACACGUGGAUAACCUACCUAUAAGACUGGGAUAACUUCGGGAAACCGGAGCUAAUACCGGAUAAUAUAUUGAACCGCAUGGUUCAAUAGUGAAAGACGGUUUUGCUGUCACUUAUAGAUGGAUCCGCGCCGCAUUAGCUAGUUGGUCAGGUAACGGCUUACCAAGGCGACGCUGCGUAGCCGACCUGAGAGGGUGAUCGGCCACACUGGAACUGAGACACGGUCCAGACUCCUACGGGAGGCAGCAGUAGGGAAUGUUCCGCAAUGGACGAAGGCCUGACGGAGCAACGCCGCGUGAGUGAGGAAGGUCUUCGGAUCGUAAAACUCUGUUAUUAGCGAAGAAAAAAUGUGUAAGUAACUGUGCACAUCUUGACGGUACCUGAUCAGAACACCACGGCUCACUACGUG
rnacentral:rRNA from 1 species